GCUCCAGAAGAAUGGGGUUGCUAUGAUUGGGAUGCUGAGAUGGGGUAACUACAGAAGAGCUCAAUCAGAAAGAAGAGUAGGAAUCACUUGCUACUCUUGUAGAGGACCCAGGCUUCCGGUGGCAACAUUUUCAAAGAGAUGACAAAAGACUGAGGAAAAGCAUGCACAGGAGACAAGUGCUUGAGAAUUCCAUAUCAACAGAAAUAUUGACAGCUUGUUCUGAAAUGAAACAGAUAUGAAGGAAGGCAAUGGCCCUGUAAAUUCUAUUAA